AGUGAACGCUGGCGGUAGGCCUAACACAUGCAAGUCGAACGGCAGCACAGUAAGAGCUUGCUCUUACGGGUGGCGAGUGGCGGACGGGUGAGGAAUACAUCGGAAUCUACUUUUUCGUGGGGGAUAACGUAGGGAAACUUACGCUAAUACUGCAUACGACCUACGGGUGAAAGCAGGGGAUCUUCGGACCUUGCGCGAUUGAAUGAGCCGAUGUCGGAUUAGCUAGUUGGCGGGGUAAAGGCCCACCAAGGCGACGAUCCGUAGCUGGUCUGAGAGGAUGAUCAGCCACACUGGAACUGAGACACGGUCCAGACUCCUACGGGAGGCAGCAGUGGGGAAUAUUGGACAAUGGGCGCAAGCCUGAUCCAGCCAUACCGCGUGGGUGAAGAAGGCCUUCGGGUUGUAAAGCCCUCUUGUUGGGAAAGAAAAGCAGCAGGUUAAUACCCCGCUGUUCUGACGGUACCCAAAGAAUAAGCACCGGCUAACUUCGUG
rnacentral:rRNA from 1 species